rnacentral:rRNA from 1 species
GACGAACGCUUGCGGCGUGCUUAACACAUGCAAGUCGAACGGAAAGGCCCUGCUUUUGUGGGGUGCUCGAGUGGCGAACGGGUGAGCAACACGUGAGUAACCUGCCCUUGACUUUGGGAUAACUUCAGGAAACUGGGGCUAAUACCGGAUAGGAGCUCCUGCUGCAUGGUGGGGGUUGGAAAGUUUCGGCGGUUGGGGAUGGACUCGCGGCUUAUCAGCUUGUUGGUGGGGUAGUGGCUUACCAAGGCUUUGACGGGUAGCCGGCCUGAGAGGGUGACCGGCCACAUUGGGACUGAGAUACGGCCCAGACUCCUACGGGAGGCAGCAGUGGGGAAUAUUGCACAAUGGGCGGAAGCCUGAUGCAGCAACGCCGCGUGCGGGAUGACGGCCUUCGGGUUGUAAACCGCUUUCGCCUGUGACGAAGCGUGAGUGACGGUAAUGGGUAAAGAAGCACCGGCUAACUACGUGCCAGCAGCCGCGGUGAUACGUAGGGUGCGAGCGUUGUCCGGAUUUAUUGGGCGUAAAGGGCUCGUAGGUGGUUGAUCGCGUCGGAAGUGUAAUCUUGGGGCUUAACCCUGAGCGUGCUUUCGAUACGGGUUGACUUGAGGAAGGUAGGGGAGAAUGGAAUUCCUGGUGGAGCGGUGGAAUGCGCAGAUAUCAGGAGGAACACCAGUGGCGAAGGCGGUUCUCUGGGCCUUUCCUGACGCUGAGGAGCGAAAGCGUGGGGAGCGAACAGGCUUAGAUACCCUGGUAGCCCACGCUGUAAACGGUGGGUACUAGGUGUGGGGUCCAUUCCACGGGUUCCGUGCCGUAGCUAACGCUUUAAGUACCCCGCCUGGGGAGUACGGCCGCAAGGCUAAAACUCAAAGGAAUUGACGGGGCCCCGCACAAGCGGCGGAGCAUGCGGAUUAAUUCGAUGCAACGCGUAGAACCUUACCUGGGUUUGACAUGGAUCGGGAGUGCUCAGAGAUGGGUGUGCCUCUUUUGGGGUCGGUUCACAGGUGGUGCAUGGCUGUCGUCAGCUCGUGUCGUGAGAUGUUGGGUUAAGUCCCGCAACGAGCGCAACCCUUGUUCACUGUUGCCAGCACGUUAUGGUGGGGACUCAGUGGAGACCGCCGGGGUCAACUCGGAGGAAGGUGGGGAUGACGUCAAGUCAUCAUGCCCCUUAUGUCCAGGGCUUCACGCAUGCUACAAUGGCUGGUACAGAGAGUGGCGAGCCUGUGAGGGUGAGCGAAUCUCGGAAAGCCGGUCUCAGUUCGGAUUGGGGUCUGCAACUCGACCUCAUGAAGUCGGAGUCGCUAGUAAUCGCAGAUCAGCAACGCUGCGGUGAAUACGUUCCCGGGGCU